CAAUGGUUCUAGAGCUGGAGAAGCUGGGUUCAAGUUCUGUCUCUGAUGCUAACUUCCUCUGUAGCCUUGGGUUCUGUAUCUUGAGACCACAAGAAGCAGAUUACAAACUGAGAAUGGAGACAACACAAAAUGAGGAAACUGAGAUUCAGGGAAAUGAAGACACUUGUCCAUUGUCAACACAGCCAGUCAAUGCCAGGGAUACAAUUCAAACCCCACUCUUCUGACCCCAAAUCCAAGGCUCUUUUCAUGCACAAUUCUGGGUCUCAUAAGAGACCUUCCAACUCUAAUUCCAAUUAUCCUUCCACUAUA